rnacentral:ncRNA from 1 species
CACAACUCUGGAGAGACCGGCCACAGCCGGCGCCGAAGGGGCACAGGGUGCAGUGGUCCGCACCCCCAAACUCUCAGGCAAAAGGACAGAGGGG